AAGGACAUCUACACACUAUAAAGGCUGGUAAGAAGCCUAGUAGUUACACAUAAUUGCAGUUGCUGUCAAUUCUAUUUGUGAGUACUACAGAGAAAAUUGAAUCCCAAAGAAAAGCUAUGAAAAAUACAAUCAUGUUCCUUUUACUUACAUGGUGCACCAUAACAUCACAAGAUAAAGGAGAUCUCAGAGGACAAGUAUUUUCUUUUCCAGAGGAAUACGCCAGCUCUUACGCGAGACUUGCACCGUUACUCUCAAAGCCCCUCUCCUCAGCUACUAUCUGCUUACGGUUCUACACGGAUCGAUUAGGCAGCAUUUCUCUCUUGACGCUAAACAUAACCGGACAAGCAGCUGCUCUCACAAUAUCUAGGCAUUCACCAGGCUAUCAAUUGCUCAUUGAGGAUAAGGCUAUAUUUUUCUAUGGCUUUCCUUGCUACUUGAAUAAGUGGAACUCACUAUGUACAACCUGGAAUGGAAGCACUGGGAUGUCUCAGAUGGUCAUCAAUAAGAAGCCCAGUGUCAGGAAAGUUGCACAUGCUGGAGGUUCCCUUGGUGCAAACCCCAGUGUAAUACUUGGACCAGAUAAGGGGUCAUUCAUGGGACAUAUCACUGAUGUGCACAUUUACGACUAUGUAAUCUCACCAUCCGAAAUCCAGAAUUAUAUGCAGGGAAAUUUUUUGAGAUACACCCUCGGUAAUUAUCUAAAUUGGGGAUCGGUGGAUUACUCUAUAAAUGGAUAUGUGCUGGUUGAGGAUAUUAAAACAUUAAAUUCAUGGAAUUAGAGAGUGUGUGCACACUUAACAGCUACACUGUGUUUCUCAACAUCAAUUUGUGCCUUAGUGCUCUUGUUAAAUUAAUUUAGUGUCAUUCAUGAAUGAACACUGUACCGUUCUCUUA